GCGGGAAUGGCGGAAUUGGUAGACGCACUGGAUUUAGGUUCCAGCGCCGCGAGGCGUGAGAGUUCGAGUCUCUCUUUCCGCACCA
rnacentral:tRNA from 9 species